rnacentral:lncRNA from 1 species
AAAACAAGAUAAAGGUAAAAUUUAUCUUUUUGAUCCUAAGAAUGUAAAUACUGAUAAUGCACAUGCACAUCUAUUUAAACUACAAAGAAAGUGAAAUGUUCAAUCAACUGUCAUCUAGAAUGUCUUUUAUUGUAUUGGAUUACCUGCUUUAUCUAGAAACCAAAAUUGUAAUUUUUCAUUGUUGUUCAUAAAGGUAUUGAGUGAAGAGGCUAUCAAGCAUACUAAGUGCAGAGUUACCUAAAAUGUAAGCACACAUAGUUGUAAAUCAUCAAUGAAAAUGAUUUAAUAAAGAACUUUAAAUCAUCUCUUUUUAUGGCCAUUUGUUAGUUAUUUCUCUCAAAUUUUCAAAUCUAAACAAGAACUGAUUUUUCAGCUUCUAUGGAAUAACCUUAAGCUAUCUUUCUUUAAAAAAAGUGAUCUUGUCUUUGAAACAUUGACUUUCCGGAAGACAUUCUUAUACUUUUAGAUCAUAUGACAUUAUUUGCUGGCAAAAAAAACUAGAGGCUCUUAAGAGCCUGUGU